AUUUGAUUAAGCCAACAAAAAGCACAGAACAUAUUUAGCUGAGUGGCUCUUUUACCUUUUUACAUGUGUAUUUUUACAUAGUUGAGAUCAUAUAAUAUGCACUUUUCCCACUUAGUAUAAAAUUGUAAACAUUUCCCCAUGUCAUUAACUACUCUUCAAAUUUGAUCUUGGUGGCUGAGCUUGCUGUGGUGGCCUUUCGGCCUCACAGGCCCUUCUUUCAAGGGUCUCCACCUCACAUGGGCCUGGGGCCUCUGAGGCAGGCAAACCUUCCGUCUACUCUACUUGCUAUCUUGAGCCGGAGGAUCACACACUUGCACAGCUCAGGGUCUGCUCUUCACCGAGACACUUGCGGCUGGUCUUUAUGAUAGUGUUCCAGGGAAAGAACACAGUGACUUCCUUCUGCAGUGACUAUAAGAAAGCCUGUGUGAUAAAGGGUCACGAAACUCCAAACGAACAUAGCAUUGUUUGUAAUAAGUUGAGUUCUCCAAUCAAGAGCAUCAGAGAACAGCCUCUCACAACCCCGUCAGACGGAGGAGUCUGGUUCUCUGUCAGCCCUGGAUUGUACAGAGAUGACAAAUGAUUCUAUUUCCCGUUCUUUCUGGUUUGCUCUGGACUGUUCCUCUCUCCUCUUUUUGGAUAGACAGAGGGUAGUAAUGAUGCUUACUGUAGUCUGCCAGGCUCCUCUGUUCAUGGGAUUCCCCAGGCAGGAAUACUGGGCUGGCUUGCCAUUUCCUUCUCCAGCGGAUCUUCCUGACCCAGGUAUCAAACCUGGAUUUCCUGCAUUGCAGGCAGUCUCCUGCAUUCUCCUGAGGCUUCCUUACUGACUGACCCAGCAGGGAAGCCCCAUGACACUUUCAUAAGGAAUCAAAUGGCUUGGGUGCUCACCAACAUGUACCUGUGAGGCCCAGCCCUCACCCUACUUUUGAGCCUCUCUGUGGCCUCGCCCAUCACUGUCCAUCCACAACGGCCGAGGCCGAGCCGACUCCAGGGUCUCAGGCUCUGUCUGCAGCUGCAUCUGGGCAAGAGAGCACCUCACGACGCUCAGAAGGGACAGGUAUCCAGCGCCCUUCAGAAGCAACCUGGGAAGCCAGAACGAAGCACAGAGAAGUGUGCGGACAGACGGGACUGGUGGCUGCGGACGGCUUGUCCACCAACCAGAGAGUCAAGGAGUGCAGUAAACAGGACAGGGGAGGCCUGAGCCGCUGGCGUCAUCCCAGCCUGCCCCAAUUCAGUGUGCUGUUUGAGCAGAACGGCUGAGGACAAGCCCAGCUACUUCUCCCAGAUGGUUGGUUGGUGGUCUCCAUAGGAGCAGUGGCCGCACGGUUCGGAACCUCAGUGGUAAACCCUCAGGGCAGCCAGGGUGUCAGAACUGAGUUCAAGAGCCUGGGGUUGCCAGCCACAGACCGACCACCCUGGCUCUCAGGACUGUGGGAGGGACACGGGAGAGGCCCUGACCUUCCAGAUUGGAGGAUCAUAGUGACACCAGUGCUGAUAAUAAUACCCAGAAUUUUAAAAAAAAAGCAAACCUAGAUGAUUCCAUGUAUAUCAUCACAUGUCUCAGCUAAUGCUGGGAGACCAGGUUCACACUGCUGCAAGCUCAGAAUUCUCAUGGUCUUUCUAGAAAAACCAUCUCUCCCCAGGCAGAGCGGCGAUUAGAGGUGUUUUUCAUCAGGCCUCUGUCCUCCAGUUGCUCCCCGCCCCCCAGCUUCUGCUGGCCUACACGCUCAGCCCGGGCCACCCAGGGGCAGUGGGCUGUGAAGGGGGCAGCCCCUGCAGCUGCUCCCUCCAAAUUCUCUGGGAUUCCAGGCCGGGCGCUGGGUGAUUACACUGCUGUUAUCUGGGAUUAGCUAUUUUCGCUGCCUGUAUUUAUAUCGUGGAAGCUGCAGCGUGAUGCUGCCAGAUGCCAACAUAGGCAAACUGUGCCUUCCUGCGGGACCCACCUGCUGUUCUGCCCUCCCCCAGCAAGGUGGCAGUUGGUGGGGACCAGCCCUGCCAAGCCCUCGCCAGCCCCUCUAAAUGUCCAGAGUCGUGAACUGAGACGCACCCACUGAGAAGCUGGGCUCUGGGGAUUGGACUGGAUGACCUCAGCAAGUGACUUGAAAACACAGUCUGUCAUUUAGCAGGUGGGAUCUGCUCCUCACCCUGGUGCGUGAGGAGGGGGCUUCUCCCACUGCCCCCGCAGGUUGCUCGCAGACUUACGCCCUCUCCUGGCUGAAAAGGGACAACACCACGCCUUGGCCUCUCGCCUUGGGUGCUUGCAGACCCCCGUCAGGAAGAUGCUCGGAUAGACGCCGAGAAACAGGCAGAAAUAGACCCGGGGGCGGACGUAUGUCAUGAGAACCAGAAUAAGCCAAACACAUUAGGAAGACAUUUCUAAUCAUGAAUGUCUUCCUGAAAGAACAAGCCCCUCAUGGAGCAAGGAUGGCGUCUUUGCAGUUUAAGCAACUGGCAGUUGCAAGGAUGUCAGAGCAGGCCACUCUGCUCCUUCCAAGUCUUGACUAUAAUCUCAAUACUAGUUAACAACUACUAUCUGCUGAGUGAGGACAUGUAUAGAUUUACACCUGCGAACUUAUUCUCACAACACUCUGAGGUAGGUAUUGUUAUUAUCAUUGGCCCAUUUUACAAAUGAAGAGCCUGAGGUGCAGGGAAGUUGCUGUGAAGUUUUUGUCCUCUUUCCUCCCUAAGCGGUCUGGCAGGCAGAAGGCAUUACAUUGUAGCAGGGGCUACAGUGAGCUUGACUCUGGAGGCUGUCACACUUUCCCAGCUAAGGGGCCUUGGAAAGUUCUUUCUAGUCCCAGGUUUCUCAUCUGUGAAAUGGACACACUAACACUGCCUCCUUUGUGAGUCCCUGGACAUACAGAUGUUAGUUAAACCCAACCCAACCCAACCCAAACUGUCUCAUGAAAAAUCAUCUCUUUUAGCCCAUUUGCAUGUUGGUCAACAUUGAUUUCAUGGGCUCUGCUCACCUGAGUCCUGGGAAUAUGUGGUUUGAAUAGAACUUCAUUUUUUUUUUAAUGUGGAUUAUUUUAAAGUCUUUAUUGAAUUUGUUACAAUAUCGCUUCUGCUUUAUGUUUUGGCUUUUCGGCUGUGAGGCGUGUGGGAUCUCAGCUUCCCAAGCAGGGAUUGAACCCCUGCCCCCUGCCUUGGAAGGUGAAGUCUUAACCAGGGAAGUCCCCCGAAUGGAGCUCUUUGAACCUGGAGAUUUCCCGCAUGGGCGGUGCCCAGGCUUUUGGGCCAGCGGGCUGUGGACUCUCACCCGUUGAUGCUAAGAGGCGGGCAAUCCAGAGGUCUGGAACAGGAGACAAGCAAAGGUGGAGACCAGGCCCCGCCAACGUCUUCUGACGCUGCCCUUGCCCUCCUGCCCCCCAAAUGCUUUGCUUUAAUCCCGCCCAGCAGCAGAAGAUGCUAUUCGUGCCAUCCUUAGGAUGAAGACAAGUGUCUGGUGAUACUUCGGGCUCCUUGCUUAGUGCUCAAAGCCACGCCCAGGGCCUGCCUGCUGGGGCCCCCCUCCCCUGGGGUUCCUCUAUCUGCCUCUCCGGGGAGCUCCAACUCCUUGUGUGCGAAGCACAGGUUUCAGAAAGGGGGACCAACCUGGGUUCAAUUCUGGCCCAGUCACAAACAAGCAACGCAACUUUGGGCAAAGGACCUCUCGCAGCCUCCGUUUUUUCAACUGUAAAAGGCGGAAACUAAAUUCUACCGUCUCAUGAAAUGGUUGAGUGUAUGUAUCCCAUGGGGUAAUAUACAUGAAGUGCCGUGGCUUGGCUCCUAAUGCAAGGGGAUGCUUAAUAAAUGGCACGUCAUUACUGAGACAAACCAGGUCUGCCCCAAUUCGGGAUUAUUAUUAUAGAAUAGUGUCUCUUUCCAUU
ensembl:lncRNA